rnacentral:rRNA from 1 species
CGUACACUCCUGCGGGAGGCAGCAGUGGGGAAUAUUGCACAAUGGGCGCAAGCCUGAUGCAGCCAUGCCGCGUGUAUGAAGAAGGCCUUCGGGUUGUAAAGUACUUUCAGCGGGGAGGAAGGCAAUACGGUUAAUAACCGUGUUGAUUGACGUUACCCGCAGAAGAAGCACCGGCUAACUCCAUGCCAGCAGCCGCGGUAAUACGGAGGGUGCAAGCGUUAAUCGGAAUUACUGGGCGUAAAGCGCACGCAGGCGGUCUGUCAAGUCGGAUGUGAAAUCCCCGGGCUCAACCUGGGAACUGCAUUCGAAACUGGCAGGCUUGAGUCUUGUAGAGGGGGGUAGAAUUCCAGGUGUAGCGGUGAAAUGCGUAGAGAUCUGGAGGAAUACCGGUGGCGAAGGUGGCCCCCUGGACAAAGACUGACGCUCAGGUGCGAAAGCGUGGGGAGCAAACAGGAUUAGAAACCCGAGUAGUCCC